rnacentral:rRNA from 1 species
CGAACGCUGGCGGCAGGCCUAACACAUGCAAGUCGACCGAACUCUUCGGAGUUAGUGGCGGACGGGUGAGUAACACGUGGGAACGUGCCUUUAGGUUCGGAAUAACUCAGGGAAACUUGUGCUAAUACCGAAUGUGCCCUUCGGGGGAAAGAUUUAUCGCCUUUAGAGCGGCCCGCGUCUGAUUAGCUAGUUGGUGAGGUAAAGGCUCACCAAGGCGACGAUCAGUAGCUGGUCUGAGAGGAUGAUCAGCCACAUUGGGACUGAGACACGGCCCAAACUCCUACGGGAGGCAGCAGUGGGGAAUCUUGCGCAAUGGGCGAAAGCCUGACGCAGCCAUGCCGCGUGAAUGAUGAAGGUCUUAGGAUUGUAAAAUUCUUUCACCGGGGACGAUAAUGACGGUACCCGGAGAAGAAGCCCCGGCUAACUUCGUG